rnacentral:lncRNA from 1 species
AUGGGAAUGCAUGCUUUCUCUGCCUGAGAUGCUGUCCUCAACCCUAUGUGUGGACACUGCACUCACAGAGGCUGAUCUGUACACACAUAUAGACACGGAUGCACACAUUCAACUUUACAUAGAAAGAGUUGGCUCAACAACUUCAUUGUGUUUUUUCUCACUUUGGGGUGUGAGUCGCCUGGGGACAGCUGGGAUGCAGCCGGAGAAAGUGACAGAUACCAGGAAAGGAGCCUGUGAGGAGAAAGGACAGCGCAUCCUUGACGGGCACCUUCCACCUCGCUCUCCAUCCGGGGUCCCUAUGGCCUCUCCCUGCCAGUUCUUUGGGGUCCACGAGGG